ensembl:lncRNA
CAAAGACCUUGGAAAAUCUCCCUGCCUCCAGCAGCUCAUCCUUCCCUCUCUAACAUACUUACUCCUUGCAGGCUGUCCCAGCUCCUCAUAGCCAUCUGCCACCACUGGCAGGUGAGGAGCGAGGAAGAGGAGCCAAGCGGGGACAGGAGAAGAAGGUCACAGUGGGGGCGGCGGGGAAGAUGGCUGUGCUCUUCACAGAAUCACAGAAUUUUAAAGGUUGCAAGGGACCUCUGGAGAUCAUUUAGUCCAAGACUCCUGCUAACGAAGGUUCCUUAGAACAGAUUGCAGAGGAAAGCCUCCAGGAGAUACCUAGUAAGCAUCAAAGACUUCAGAGUUUUACUGAACACUAAACUUCAUAUUUCUUUGAAGAUCCUCCCUAGAUUUCCUAUGAUCCUACCUACUUCAGCAGGAGAGGUUCUGUGGAGUGGUUCUGUGAGAGGGUAUUUGGUGUGUUCGCAUCUGAGAGGCAGUGGAAGAUUGGAAUAACACACACAAAAAGAGCAUGUGGUCCUGAAAGGGAAAACAAAAAGUUGAUCUAGAAGAAUGAACUGAAAUUCAAAGGCAAAGAUGUGGGGUCAGUGACUAUGGUAAGAAGAAAAUGAAGAAAAGAUGUGCAACUGCAUUCCUCCAUAUGAAAAAAAAUGGCACCCACUGACAUUCAUCAACAGUUGCUGAGCAUUUAUGGAGACCAAACUGGAUGUGAGCAAUGUGAGCAAUGACAGUGAGGCAAUGGGUGGUGUGUUUCUGCAGUGGUGACGGUGACAGUGGGUCACCUUCUGGUGCAGACUUUUAAGAGAGUAGAAUGAGGUUCUUGUUCAUCACUGGUGAAAAUGCAUAGCUAGUGGUGGUGACUGUGUCAAAAAUAAUGCUUUU